CGUGAUCUAGCUCAGUUGGUAGAGCAGCGGACUGUUAAUCCGUUUGUCGCGGGUUCGACUCCCGCGAUCACUC
rnacentral:tRNA from 1 species